UCAAAGGGGACCUUUAUUCCACUCAUUAAUUUCCUAUCUCUCACCAGUUGUAUGGUUGUGUAUAUUUUGAAUCCUUAUUGCUAUUUAUCACAUGUAUGCUACUGUUAUUGGGAACCCAAUCAGUUGGGAGUGAUUUCAAUAGGACCAAGAGGAGCCCCCAAAAGAACUGAAAGGGAUCCCCAUAUAUGUAUACACAUAUAUUUAUAUAAGAGUUCUUUAAGAAUUCUUCCCCACUGAGGAGUAUUAAACUUUUGUUAUUGAGAUUGAAGAGCCCACUUAGAAACAAAAAAAGGCAAAAUGUCAAAAAAAAAAAAAACCCCAUAGGUGUCUCAUCGAAAGAAACAAAAUAUAGAGCUAGGCUUAGAGUUUUUGUUCCUCAUGGAGACAAAAACCUAGGGUGAAGUCUCUAGUCUCAAACAAGAGGGGAACUUUAGUACUAUUAUGUUUGUGCUUGUUCCUAAAUGAGUAUAUGGUUUCUUGGUUUAUUUGUAAUUUAAAGAGUUUUGUAAUACUGAUUCAUUAAUCUCUUUGACUUCUAAAUCUGAAAAUUGCUAAUUUUAUAAUGUGGUGUUUUAACAACUUGUUUAUCUAUUCCUGUGUAUAUUGUUAGGGGGACUAGUGGAACUCAAGUGCGUUUGUGGGAUUUGUUUAAUAUUGUGUUCGGUGUUUGGCUCUUUCUUUUCUUUCAACUCUAACUUGUUUCGUAUAUAUGUUGCACUAUCUCUCUUUAUUUUUCUUUCCUCAGUUAAGCGACUGAGAGCAUACUUGAAUAUUUUGGAGUAGGUAGUAUGCAUUGGUGUGUCUAUAUAUGCAUAAUGUACAUGUUUGUCUACAAAAAAUAUUGAGGGAGGUAGAAACAUGGACAAGAGUUGAAUUGAUUUACCAAAGAUGUCAAGGGACUACUUGAAUGGGAUUGACAGAUUUCUUGAGUUUUCAUACACUGCUAAGCUUGAUAGUUUGUUCAUCAGUUGUCCUUGUAGAAAAAGUGAGAAUCGCUAUAGUUUGCAUACACCGCUAAGAGAACAUAGGGGCGCUAGGAUGAAGAUAUUGGUUGGGUGACGGAAGGAGAAGAAGGUGACAUGAUUGUUGUUUAGGCUUCGUCCGUUAUUUGCCUCUCCUUUACCAUGUUCUCCAUGACUGGAUGGAAAGGGUCUAAGCUUCUCGAUCACAUCCAAGACGUUCACAGGCCAAUUGGAGAUAGGUCAGGACUUGGUUACCAUGCUUCCUCAUCCUAUAUGACUGUUGAGAAUAAUACAAGCAAGGAAAACAAAGACAAGCAAAGGAGAUAAAGCAUGUAAAGCCAAAAGUGAUUGUAAGCAUUAUCAAGCCUCAAAAUAUUGGACUGUUGGCAUUUCCCUAGCCUAACCUUGAUUUUUGGUGGAGAAAGAGCUAAGAAAAAUGGGAGAAGCGGACUGCUCAAAUGCAGUCAAUACUGCCGAGAAAACAGAGCAAGAGAGAUGCUGCUCUCUGGAAAGCAGGGGAAAAAGAAACGUGAAAUGGGGCUGCUCUACCUUUUUCAUUCCCUUACUCCUUUAAAUACUAUGGCAAAGCCCUUUACAUAGGGAGGAGGUAAAAGAAUAAAUAGGACACCACACUUUAAACUAUUACAAAACUAACAUAAGCACUUGAAUAUUGCAAUAAAAUACAAAAGGCAUUAAUUUUAACAAGGACGCUCUCUUGUAGUUUUGUUGGCACCUUGUUCAACCUAGUCAGAUUUCGUUGAUGGAAGAUCAUAAUCAUGUUGACGAAAUACUUUUGUUGGCGCCUUGUUGAACCUAGUCAGCUUUCCUGAGUACCUAACUUUCUCUUGACGAAAUACUCUUUAAAGUGCAUGGUGAGAUAUAUAAAUGACUCUUAGUUAAUCCAUUCAUUCAAAAUGCAUGAAGAGGGAAGAAGCUAAAAUCACUGUAUGGGAGAACCUUCAGAAGGCAAAAGCCGAGGCAGCGAUAAGGAAACAAGAGGUGUUUGUCGAGGACUAAAGCGUGUAAUGAUCGUGAAGAUGCAAUAUUUUGGAUUCCACUUAUUUUUUAGUACUAUUGGCAUUGCCUACUUUAGCUUUUAUUCCCUGAACAUGUUAUUGGAGCAAUAUUGUAAUAUGGAUCUCCUCUUGAGAUUGAAUGAAUGGAUCAAUGUUGGUUUUUGAAUGAAAGAUGGUUUUUGUAUUAGAAUGGAUGAGGACAUGCUUUGGAUGGAUUAGCCCUUGUUGUUUUAUAUGUCCAGAAAACUAUAUAUGCAGGUUAGUAUCUGUAAUUAGUUAAAAAAAAUUAAAAAAUUGGGUCAGCGAUUGCUCCUAGGAUGUACAUAUGUUUUUCAAUUUUGAGACGGCACAAACUCAGACGCCAAAGGAAUAAGUUUAUACCUGAACCAUUGGCAACGGCAUAGGCCGAUGAAAAUAAUGCUAUUUGCGAUGGCAAGGCGUCCCGAUGCUAAUGAUCACAUGUUUUUCAAAUUUUUUUAGUCGGCAAGAAUGCUGACGCAAAAAAACUAUUAGCGACAGUGCAUGCCGACGCAAAUACUAUGCGACAGCACUUGCCAACGCAAAAAACUUUUUGACACCCCACCAUUUACGUGCCCCCCACAGUAG